AAAAAAGCAGGAUGCUGUGUUUCUUGGUAGCAGUAUCCCCGUAAACUUUAGGAACAUUGUGUUCAUCGUUAUUGGGUGAACCGUUGGCCCUGUCCAUGUGUUGGACAAUUCCAUGUCAAUUGGUUCAGUAAAUGAUGGCACAUUU
rfam:Setaria italica strain Yugu1 chromosome VII, whole genome shotgun sequence.